rnacentral:rRNA from 1 species
GACGAACGCUGGCGGCGUGCUUAACACAUGCAAGUCGAACGAGAGCGUAGAGAAAGCUUGCUUUUUCUACAAUCUAGUGGCAAACGGGUGAGUAACGCGUAAACAACCUGCCCUACGGAUGGGGACAACAGCUGGAAACGGCUGCUAAUACCGAAUACGUUCCGAAAGUCGCAUGACUAUCGGAAGAAAGGAUGGCCUCUAUUUAUAAGCUAUCGCCGGAGGAGGGGUUUGCGUCUGAUUAGCUAGUUGGAGGGGUAACGGCCCACCAAGGCGACGAUCAGUAGCCGGUCUGAGAGGAUGAACGGCCACAUUGGAACUGAGACACGGUCCAGACUCCUACGGGAGGCAGCAGUGGGGAAUCUUCCGCAAUGGGCGAAAGCCUGACGGAGCAACGCCGCGUGAGUGAAGACGGCCUUCGGGUUGUAAAGCUCUGUUAUACGGGACGAAUAAUCUUGUGGUUAAUACCCAUAAAAGUGACGGU